rnacentral:rRNA from 1 species
GACGAACGCUGGCGGCGUGCUUAACACAUGCAAGUCGAACGGUAAGGCCCUUUUGGGGGUACACGAGUGGCGAACGGGUGAGUAACACGUGGGUGACCUGCCUCAAGCUCUGGGAUAAGCCUGGGAAACUGGGUCUAAUACCGGAUAUGACUUCAUGCUUCAUGGUGUGGGGUGGAAAGUUUUUCGGCUUGAGGUGGGCCCGCGGCCUAUCAGCUUGUUGGUGGGGUGAUGGCCUACCAAGGCUU